rnacentral:rRNA from 1 species
AUUGAACGCUGGCGGCAGGCCUAACACAUGCAAGUCGAACGCGUGGCGGACGGGUGAGUAAUGUCUGUGAAACUGUCCGAUGUAGGGGGAUAACUAUUGUUAACGGUAUCUCAAAUCGCAUACCAUCUGAUAUGCCCACAUGGGAUUAGAUUGUAGGUGCGGUAACGGCUCACCCAGGCGACGAUCCCUAGAUGGUCUGUGAGGAUGACCAGCCACACGGGAACUGAGACACGGCCCAGACUCCUACGGGAGGCAGCAGUGGGGAAUAUUGCACAAUGGGCGCAAGCCUGAUGCAGCCAUGCCGCGUGUAUGAAGAAGGCCUUAGGGUUGUAAAGUACUUUCAGCGGGGAGGCGUUACCCGCAGAAGAAGCACCGGCUAACUCCGUGCCAGCAGCCGCGGUAAUAC